AAGGAAAAACGUAUCAUGAUUUCGUAAUAACAAAAAAAUUCAUACUGAGGGGUGGGGCAUCAAUUGUUCUGUAAAUUAGAAGAAAAUGUGAUUGAGAUUGUUAUAGUCACGUUGUAAUUGUCAUCUCAAGUAUGCUUACCCCGUCAAGCAUGAGCGGCACCUGCAAGGCAAGUUACGGGUCAUUGGGUUUAGCGAGUGAUAAUGCGUUGGGAGUGGUAUUAAUCUCCCAGGCAAAAGCAUUCAGCCAAAUUUGUGCUUCGAACCUUUUGUACUCUAUUAAAAUAAGGCUUCGUAAAACAUGGUGUGGACGGGUGAAUGGGCCAAUUCUUUAUUUGGGCCUUCCAACUGAGACCAGCCCGACUAUUUGUACGCGACUUGGGUUAAGUAUUCUAUCAAACCUCGUCCUUGCAUGUAUAAACUACCUUCAGUUUGUGACAAAAGAUAACUCUGGUAGUGCAAGUCAACAUAAUGGAAGGUUUAAGGGAAUCAGAGAAGAAGGAGGAUGCAAAUCACCCCACUGCAGCAGACUCUUGCGCCGACGGUAUAGGGUAUGGAAACUUUUUUUCCUCAACACCCCCUUGCAUCGUUGGUUCAUUGUCGGGCUAAAAUCUAAGAUAUGUUUGUUUCAGUGACAUUCCAAAACUGAUGACAGAAGACUCCGUUGGUUUUUGUUUUCAAUAAAUUUCGCCGGGUCAGUUGUACUUAUCCAUUUUGGCCACGGUAAGAUUGUGUUAUGUUGUUUUCUGUUUCAUACCAUACUGACUGGUAUGGUGGUGUUUUUGAACAGCAUCUCAUGGAAAAUGUUAGCACCACACAAGCAUUGCAAGCUUCCCAGGCCCGUACAUUGAAAACGCUCUCCGACUGCAUCACGAGCCACGGAAAGAUACUAGAGAUUUUAUGGGAAGAAUAUGCGGACCGGCGCAGGAAGCAGUAUCCUCAAGCUGGGAUUGAACCGUGCAAGGCAGACUGGCCUGGAAAGAAAGAGGCUGUCAUUGCAAACAAAGGUAUGACUACAAGUUGGGGUCGAGACGGGUCACUGACUCAGAUCAUCCACUGAAGGUAUUUUCUCCUUCAUGUAUUUAUCCAUAUUGUGCAAUCCUCCGUUUCACUUGGGAAUGAAAUGAGGUUUUCUACUUUGCUAUGCAGAGAAAGCUAGACUUUGACAGCAGCGACGACGAGCAUGGGAGAGAAGUGCUAGGGGAGAAUCUGGGGGAUGUUACACCGUUGCUGUUUGAGAUUAAGAAGGAUGGGUUGUUAUCAUCGGAAGAUAUGCCUAAGGUAUUUGUAUAUGCUUUCGAUUUUCUGUAUAGUUGGCGAUACUUGAUGUCUUACACUGUAGUUUGCUAUGUCAAUAGUUCUUGGAUGUAGAUUUCAGACCACCGAAGGGGAUAAAAUUUAUCGCAACGGAACUAGCCGUGGCAGCCUACAUUUUCGCCAGAGACCUAGAACAGGGGUACAUCCUCAACAUUAAGUCGUAAAACAUGGUGCACACGCAUGUUUCUAGCCGUGUGCAUCAUUUCACGAUUGUGGAGAUGCUCCUAACAUUGUUUUCAAUUUUUUCUUCAGCGAGAUAUUGUAUUCUGGGGAACACUGCCACGGAGCUAGACAUGCAUUCUGGUCGUUGCGUCCCCGUCAGGAAGUUGUGGACGAUGUAAGUGGUGACUUAUAACAUGCUAUUUGUAAUGAGCAUUCAUCGGUUUUUUAAAGGCUUCAUAAGUGUUAUUUUGACCAGCAAUUGGUAUUCGACUUCAGUCAUUUUUUUUAAUACACGCUUAGGUUAUAAACCUCGUAGCAACCAUACUUAAUGACGAGCGUCAUGACUCCGUAUGGUGGCUUCCGACCACGUUUGAUCAAAUAGCUUUGAAUCCUUCCACUUAUUGCAAGGAAACUUUGGCCUUUAUUCGUCACAAAUACAUGAAAUAUGUUGACGACACGCCAAAGAUUUACAUUCCCUUAAACAAGGAUCAACACUGGUACCUUAUGGUUGUGAAUUUGCGCGAAAAAGCUUUCAUAUAUCUGGACUCUGCUAAAGACAUU